rnacentral:rRNA from 1 species
UAGUGGCGAACGGGUGAGUAACACGUGAGUAACCUGCCCUUGACUCUGGGAUAAGCCUGGGAAACUGGGUCUAAUACCGGAUAUGACUCCUCAUCGCAUGGUGGGGGGUGGAAAGCUUUUGUGGUUUUGGAUGGACUCGCGGCCUAUCAGCUUGUUGGUGGGGUAAUGGCCUACCAAGGCGACGACGGGUAGCCGGCCUGAGAGGGUGACCGGCCACACUGGGACUGAGACACGGCCCAGACUCCUACGGGAGGCAGCAGUGGGGAAUAUUGCACAAUGGGCGCAAGCCUGAUGCAGCGACGCCGCGUGAGGGAUGACGGCCUUCGGGUUGUAAACCUCUUUCAGUAGGGAAGAAGCGAAAGUGACGGUACCUGCAGAAGAAGCGCCGGCUAACUACGUGCCAGCAGCCGCGGUAAUACGUAGGGCGCAAGCGUUAUCCGGAAUUAUUGGGCGUAAAGAGCUCGUAGGCGGUUUGUCGCGUCUGCUGUGAAAGACCGGGGCUCAACUCCGGUUCUGCAGUGGGUACGGGCAGACUAGAGUGCAGUAGGGGAGACUGGAAUUCCUGGUGUAGCGGUGAAAUGCGCAGAUAUCAGGAGGAACACCGAUGGCGAAGGCAGGUCUCUGGGCUGUAACUGACGCUGAGGAGCGAAAGCAUGGGGAGCGAACAGGAUUAGAUACCCUGGUAGUCCAUGCCGUAAACGUUGGGCACUAGGUGUGGGGGACAUUCCACGUUUUCCGCGCCGUAGCUAACGCAUUAAGUGCCCCGCCUGGGGAGUACGGCCGCAAGGCUAAAACUCAAAGGAAUUGACGGGGGCCCGCACAAGCGGCGGAGCAUGCGGAUUAAUUCGAUGCAACGCGAAGAACCUUACCAAGGCUUGACAUGAACCGGUAAUACCUGGAAACAGGUGCCCCGCUUGCGGUCGGUUUACAGGUGGUGCAUGGUUGUCGUCAGCUCGUGUCGUGAGAUGUUGGGUUAAGUCCCGCAACGAGCGCAACCCUCGUUCUAUGUUGCCAGCGCGUUAUGGCGGGGACUCAUAGGAGACUGCCGGGGUCAACUCGGAGGAAGGUGGGGACGACGUCAAAUCAUCAUGCCCCUUAUGUCUUGGGCUUCACGCAUGCUACAAUGGCCGGUACAAAGGGUUGCGAUACUGUGAGGUGGAGCUAAUCCCAAAAAGCCGGUCUCAGUUCGGAUUGGGGUCUGCAACUCGACCCCAUGAAGUCGGAGUCGCUAGUAAUCGCAGAUCAGCAACGCUGCGGUGAAUACGUUCCCGGGCCUUGUACACACCGCCCGUCAAGUCACGAAAGU